rnacentral:rRNA from 1 species
AUUGAACGCUGGCGGCAUGCCUUACACAUGCAAGUCGAACGGUAACGGGCCUUCGGGUGCCGACGAGUGGCGAACGGGUGAGUAAUGCAUCGGAACGUACCUUUCAGUGGGGGAUAACGUAGCGAAAGUUACGCUAAUACCGCAUAUUCUGUGAGCAGGAAAGCAGGGGAUCGCAAGACCUUGCGCUGAUUGAGCGGCCGAUGUCAGAUUAGCUAGUUGGUGAGGUAAAGGCUGGCCAAGGCGACGAUCUGUAGCGGGUCUGAGAGGGUGAUCCGCCACACUGGGACUGAGACACGGCCCAGACUCCUACGGGAGGCAGCAGUGGGGAAUUGUGGACAAUGGGGGCAACCCUGAUCCAGCCAUGCCGCGUGAGUGAAGAAGGCCUUCGGGUUGUAAAGCUCUUUCGGCCGGGAAGAAAUCGCACAGGCUAAUACCUUGUGUGGAUGACGGUACCGGAAUAAGAAGCACCGGCUAACUACGUGCCAGCAGCCGCAGUAAGAC